rnacentral:rRNA from 1 species
GCAAGUCGAGGGGUAACGGGGAAGCUUGCUUCCGCCGACGACCGGCGCACGGGUGCGUAACGCGUAUACAAUCUACCUUAUACUAUUGGAUAGCCCAGAGAAAUUUGGAUUAAUACAAUAUGGUAUCAUAUUUCGGCAUCGAAUUUAUGAUUAAAGGUUACGGUAUAAGAUGAGUAUGCGUCCUAUUAGCUAGAUGGUGUGGUAACGGCAUACCAUGGCGACGAUAGGUAGGGGCCCUGAGAGGGGGAUC